rnacentral:rRNA from 1 species
UACGUAGGGGGCAAGCGUUGUCCGGAAUCAUUGGGCGUAAAGCGCGUGUAGGCGGCCCGGUAAGUCCGCUGUGAAAGUCCAGGGCUCAACCCUGGAAUGCCGGUGGAUACUGUCGGGCUCGAGUCCGGAAGAGGCGAGUGGAAUUCCUGGUGUAGCGGUGAAAUGCGCAGAUAUCAGGAGGAACACCGAUGGCGAAGGCAGCUCGCUGGGACGGUACUGACGCUGAGACGCAAAAGCGUGGGGAGCAAACAGG